rnacentral:rRNA from 1 species
GAUGAACGCUGGCGGCGUGCCUAAUACAUGCAAGUCGAGCGAGCGGACGAGAAGCUUGCUUCUCUGAUGUUAGCGGCGGACGGGUGAGUAACACGUGGAUAACCUACCUAUAAGGCUGGGAUAACUUCGGGAAACCGUAGCUAAUACCGGAUAAUAUUUUGAACCGCAUGGUUCAAAAGUGAAAGACGGUCUUGCUGUCACUUAUAGAUGGAUCCGCGCUGCAUUAGCUAGUUGGUAAGGUAACGGCUUACCAAGGCAACGAUGCAUAGCCGACCUGAGAGGGUGAUCGGCCACACUGGAACUGAGACACGGUCCAGACUCCUACGGGAGGCAGCAGUAGGGAAUCUUCCGCAAAGGGCGAAAGCCUGACGGAGCAACGCCGCGUGAGUGAUGAAGGUCUUCGGAUCGUAAAACUCUGUUAUUAGGGAAGAACAUAUGUGUAACUAACUGUGCACAUCUUGACGGUACCUAAUCAGAAAGCCACGGCUAACUACGUG